GGGAAUGUAGCUCAACUGAUACAGCGCUUGCCUAACAUGCAAAAAGCCCUGGAUUCCAUUCCCA
rfam:Neotoma lepida isolate 417 scaffold_7, whole genome shotgun sequence.